CCUGGCACUAGGCAAUCCAAAAAGCUAUAUCCAUGGGUACACGUCUAGUCCUUGAGGCAAGGAAGGCUGACCUGGUCCUCAGAUGAGCUUGAAAGCUGGGCCGACAGGGGCUGUCCCAGUAGUGGGUGGGCCUGGAGGCUGUAUCCACAGAAGCUUCCAGCAAGUUGGAGUCCACCUGUGUUGGCCUCAUGACUAGGAUGACUAGGAUUGGCCUGCUGCUGGGACAAGGCUGAAACCUGGAACCUGGGACAGCCUAGAGUUGGUCUGCUGAUGGUGGCAGCCUAGAUAUGGGUCCACUGGAGCCAGUCAAGACCUAAGGACAAGCUGAAACAUGAAGCCUUUGAGGUUGACCUAGCAGUGGGAUGGUCUGGAGACUGAAUCCACCACAAAGACCUGGAGCCUGAGGCUACAGGACCUAGCCUAGCAUGAGGUAACACACUCUGAUUCUGAGGAAGACCAAACAGGAGCUGACAGCCUGGAGAAAGCCACACUAAGGUCUUUGGACCUGUGAUUCCCAGUCCUUAGGUUGAGGACCCUGAGGAGUCAAGAUGCAAAUACUGGAACCGUAAUGUGCAACAGCCUCUGUAAAUAAAUGAGUGCAUAAGGCCCCUU